AUUGAACGGGGGAGGAAGGAAGAACACAUGCAAGUCGAGCGGAUGAAGGGAGCUUGCUCCUGGAUUCAGCGGCGGACGGGUGAGUAAUGCCUAGGAAUCUGCCUGGUAGUGGGGGAUAACGUCCGGAAACGGGCGCUAAUACCGCAUACGUCCUGAGGGAGAAAGUGGGGGAUCUUCGGACCUCACGCUAUCAGAUGAGCCUAGGUCGGAUUAGCUAGUUGGUGGGGUAAAGGCCUACCAAGGCGACGAUCCGUAACUGGUCUGAGAGGAUGAUCAGUCACACUGGAACUGAGACACGGUCCAGACUCCUACGGGAGGCAGCAGUGGGGAAUAUUGGACAAUGGGCGAAAGCCUGAUCCAGCCAUGCCGCGUGUGUGAAGAAGGUCUUCGGAUUGUAAAGCACUUACAGUUGGGAGGAAGGGCAGUAAGUUAAUACCUUGCUGUUUUGACGUUACCAACAGAAUAAGCACUGGCUACCUUCGUG
rnacentral:rRNA from 1 species